GUAAACCGGAGGAGGUGGUGGAGGAGACUUAUGCUUGUAAACGGGUGGUGGUGGGGAUUUGUACAUUGGUGGAGGUGGUGGUGGAGACUUGUACUUGUAAACGGGUGGUGGUGGGGACUUGUACUUGUAAAUAGGUGGCGGUGGGGAUUUAUGGACUGGUGGAGGUGGUGGUGGGGACUUGUACUUGUAAACGGGUGGUGGUGGGGAUUUAUAAACUGGUGGAGGUGGUGGUGGAGACUUGUACUUAUAAACGGGUGGUGGUGGGGACUUAUACUUGUAAACGGGUGGCGGUGGGGAUUUAUAAACUGGUGGAGGUGGUGGUGGAGACUUGUACUUGUAAACGGGUGGUGGUGGGGACUUGUACUUGUAAACAGGUGGCGGUGGGGAUUUAUAGACUGGUGGAGGUGGUGGUGGAGACUUGUACUUAUAAACAGGUGGUGGUGGAGACUUAUACUUGUAAACGGGUGGUGGUGGAGAUCUAUAAAUUGGUAGAGGUGGUGGCGGGGAUUUGUACUUAUAAACUGGAGGU
rnacentral:lncRNA from 1 species